UGGGGAAUUUUGGACAAUGGGGGAAACCCUGAUCCAGCCAUCCCGCGUGUGCGAUGAAGGCCUUCGGGUUGUAAAGCACUUUUGGCAGGAAAGAAACGUCAUGGGUUAAUACCCCGUGAAACUGACGGUACCUGCAGAAUAAGCACCGGCUAACUACGUGCCAGCAGCCGCGGUAAUACGUAGGGUGCAAGCGUUAAUUGGAAUUACUGGGCGUAAAGCGUGCGCAGGCGGUUCGGAAAGAAAGAUGUGAAAUCCCAGAGCUUAACUUUGGAACUGCAUUUUUAACUACCGGGCUAGAGUGUGUCAGAGGGAGGUGGAAUUCCGCGUGUAGCAGUGAAAUGCGUAGAUAUGCGGAGGAACACCGAUGGCGAAGGCAGCCUCCUGGGAUAACACUGACGCUCAUGCACGAAAGCGUGGGGAGCAAACA
rnacentral:rRNA from 1 species